AUUGAACGCUGGCGGCAUGCCUAACACAUGCAAGUCGAACGGAAACGAUGCUAGCUUGCUAGCAGGCGUCGAGUGGCGGACGGGUGAGUAAUGUAUAGGAACUUGCCUAGUAGUGGGGGACAACGUGUGGAAACGCACGCUAAUACCGCAUACGCUCUACGGAGGAAAGCGGGGGAUCUUUCGGGACCUCGUGCUACUAGAUAGGCCUAUAUUGGAUUAGCUAGUUGGUAAGGUAAAGGCUUACCAAGGCGACGAUCCAUAGCUGGUUUGAGAGAAUGAUCAGCCACACUGGGACUGAGACACGGCCCAGACUCCUACGGGAGGCAGCAGUGGGGAAUAUUGCACAAUGGAGGCAACUCUGAUGCAGCAAUGCCGCGUGUGUGAAGAAGGCCUUAGGGUUGUAAAGCACUUUCAGACGUGAGGAAAAGUAGACUAUUAAUACUAAUUUGCCCUGACGUUAACGUCAGAAGAAGCACCGGCUAACUCCGUGCCAGCAGCCGCGGUAAUACGGAGGGUGCAAGCGUUAAUCGGAAUUACUGGGCGUAAAGCGCGCGUAGGCGGUUAAAUAAGUCAGAUGUGAAAUCCCUGGGCUCAACCUAGGAACUGCAUUUGAAACUAUUUGGCUAGAGUAUGGUAGAGGUGAGUGGAAUUUCAGGUGUAGCGGUGAAAUGCGUAGAGAUCUGAAGGAACAUCAGUGGCGAAGGCGACUCACUGGGCCAUUACUGACGCUGAGGUGCGAAAGCGUGGGUAGCAAACAGGAUUAGAUACCCUGGUAGUCCACGCCCUAAACGAUGUCAACUAGGUGUGUGAAAGUAUAUCUUUUGCGUAUCGAAGCUAACGCGAUAAGUUGACCGCCUGGGGAGUACGGCCGCAAGGCUAAAACUCAAAUGAAUUGACGGGGGCCCGCACAAG
rnacentral:rRNA from 1 species